rnacentral:rRNA from 1 species
UAACCUGCCCAAGAGAUCGGGAUAACACCUGGAAACAGAUGCUAAUACCGGAUAACAANAGAUGAUGCCUAUCAACUGUUUAAAAGAUGGUUCUGCUAUCACUCUUGGAUGGACCUGCGGUGCAUUAGCUAGUUGGUAGGGUAACGGCCUACCAAGGCGAUGAUGCAUAGCCGAGUUGAGAGACUGAUCGGCCACAUUGGGACUGAGACACGGCCCAAACUCCUACGGGAGGCAGCAGC